rnacentral:rRNA from 1 species
GACGUAGGGCGCAAGCGUUGUCCGGAAUUAUUGGGCGUAAAGAGCUCGUAGGCGGUUUGUCGCGUCGGCUGUGAAAACCCGGGGCUCAACCCCGGGCCUGCAGUCGAUACGGGCAAACUAGAGUGUGGUAGGGGAGACUGGAAUUCCUGGUGUAGCGGUGAAAUGCGCAGAUAUCAGGAGGAACACCGGUGGCGAAGGCGGGUCUCUGGGCCAUAACUGACGCUGAGGAGCGAAAGCGUGGGGAGCGAACAGG